rnacentral:lncRNA from 1 species
CGAAACCUCGAACCGGCCAAGAGUGCGCACGCGCACGCAAGCGCCCUGGGCCUUGCCGGUCUUCUGGCUCCUCCUCCUCUGCGGAAGGGCGGGCACUGACCCCGAGGUGUUAGGCGAUUGGGUAUUUUGACCUAGAAUCAGAAGCGGUAACCAGUAGAAAAGGAAAAACUGUGGGAAUCUAGCCAAUAGUGAGGAAGGACCUGCGUUUUUGGUGACUUCCCGGGGAGACAGGAUCUUGACGUGUAGUUCAGGCCUUACGUAUCCCAGGCUGUCCUGGAACCUGCAAUCCUCCUGGCUCAGCCUCCCGCGUAGCUGGGGUUACAGGCGUUCGUCACCAGGCCUGUUGGUACCCAUCUACCUCUGUGUUGUGCUUAAGAAAUACCAGUGGUUGCUCUUCAUAGUAGAUGGGGCCUUGAACUCACUGUAGCCCAGGCUUGCUUCAAACUCACAGAGAUCCUCCUGCCUCAGUCUCUCAGUGUUGUGACUACAGGUGUGCAUCACCAAGCCUGGCUGAUCUUUACUUUUUUUUUUUCUUCCUUCUGGCCUUGGGGAUUGAACUCAGGACCUUGGUGUUUGCAAGGCAGGUGUGGUGCCAAUGAGCUACAUCUCCA